rnacentral:rRNA from 1 species
CCUACGGGGGGCAGCAGUGGGGGAUAUUGCACAAUGGGGGGAACCCUGAUGCAGCGACGCCGCGUGGGUGCAGAAGCGCCUCGGCGCGUAAAGCUCUGUCAGCAGGGAAGAAAAUGACGUUACGUGAAGAAGAAGCCCCGGCUAACUACGUGCCAGCAGCCGCGGUAAUACGGAGGGGGCAAGCGUGAUCCGGAUUUACUGGGUGUAAAGGGGGCGCAGACGGCGAUGCAAGCCAGGAGUGAAAGCCCGGGGCUCAACCCCGGGACUGCUCUUGGAACUGCGUGGCUGGAGAGCAGGAGGGGCAGGCGGAAUUCCUGGUGUAGCGGUGAAAUGCGUAGAUAUCAGGAGGAACACCGGUGGCGAAGGCGGCCUGCUGGACUGCAACUGACGUUGAGGCCCGAAAGCGUGGGGAGCAAACAGGAUUAGAUACCCCAGUAGUC